AUUUUUCCAGGCUAUCAUGAAUGCCUCUGUUUCUAUCAUGUGACUGACGUCAGCUGACCAGCAAGCGGAGGGCGGAAGCAGAGGAAAACAUGGUGGUGUUACUGAGCAGGCUGCCUGCCACAGAGUGUAUUAAGUUUUGUCACAGGGUGGUGGAUGGCCUGUGUGGCAGGGAGCCCCCCCGCAGGUCAGAGCACAGCACCACCUGGAGCCCAGAGGAGUGGCUGCAGCUGCUGGACUCCCUGAGCGCCUUCUACCGCCGGGCAGUGGGCAGCGACAGCUCCGAGGAGGAGGUGCUGGGGGGGGCUGGCAGAUGUUGGCAGCAGCCAUGCUGAGGCGGUGCUGAGCGUGCUGAGGGCCAGACGGGAGGAGAUCCACCACGCUCUGCUGGACAGAACCAACUCCAUCUCCUCCGCCACGCUGCAGGACUUCGACUGGCAACUCAAGCUGUCCCUCUCCAGUGAUAAGAUCUCGUCCCUGCACACCCCUCUGCUCAGCCUCAGUCUGGAUGUGAGGGAGGACGCAGCCCUGCGCUCCGUCACCAUGGAGAUGAACCGAGAGGAGUUAAACACACUCAUCAGUUCCCUAGAGGCCGCCAACAAGGUGGUGCUGCAGUUGAAAUGAUGGACAGAUUGUGGAGGAAUCAUCCCACUAAAACCCAGGACUACAGGAAGUCCAGCAGGUGUUUGUCAGGGUGUCAUGAAGUGUGAAAUCGACUCUCUGCCAUGCCAUGUUGGAGGCACAAUGACAGUCAUAUACAUGAACAUGUUUAUGAGCAGUAGAACUCUCACUAUUUGUUUUUUAAAUGGACUGUUGCAUCAUUGUUGUAUCGGGAACUUAUCAAAGUACAUUUUUAUUUGCCUUUUCAUAAUGUUAAAUCUUAUUCUAGUGUCCAUUCCAUUUUACAAAUAGUAGAAAGAAGAGUGAAAUGUGCUAACAAUAAAUACCCCAUUAACUUUAUACCAUACAUAUAUAGUUUGAAUGUUGAGCAUAUUGAAUGAAAUGUGAGAAUAUGGAAUUAAAGCUUGAAUGUAUAGAAUCAAACAUGAGAAUUGUUCAAGCUAUUCGACGUCCACGACACAGGGCCACGUUUUUUUUAUAUAUCUGAUUCAUCUGUACAAAUGUUGCUGCAAGAAAUGUAUUAAAUAAAGUAAAGUAAAAUAACCUAAAUAAAAUAUUUAAAAAAAUUGA